CCAUAGUGAAUGAAUCCUAGAUUGUAUAAGUUCUUCAAAGUGGUAGGUUAAGUGGAGAGUAAUUAAAUGAUGUGUCCAAUCCAUCAUCUGUGAAUAUGAGGGGUACACAAACUUCUAACCGCUUACAAAAAAGGUUAUAUCAUGGAAUACUUUCUAGGUUUAUUUAAGAUAACAAAAGGUCAUACGCCAUUCGAGUAGUGGUAAGUUCUUGCACUCAUAAGCUUACACAAGUUACUUUGGGUAAAGUCUAAGUCUUAUGGGGAAUAGGUGAGACUAUGUGAUAUCGACAUUAAUAGUAACAAGGCCUUAGUUUCAUGAAUGACAUGGAUUCCAAGAUUAAGAUAGUUUUGAAGACAAAAGUUCCAUUUAGAUGUGUAUGAUGUAACAACCCAAGUUAAAAAACAAAAACUUACACUGGAACAAGAUAGAUCAUUUGCCUUGGAUCGGUACAAUUGAUCCGUCACAAAACUUCACGUUUCCAAUGAACUUUUCAUCAAGAUAUUUGAAUUUUGCUCGAUUUUCGGUCAUGUGGUUGCUCGCUCCGUUAUUUAGGUACCACAUACUAGUUUUCAUUUGGUCUUCUCCGUCUAUGAAGGGGUUCGCCAUAACCUUCUCUUCAUUGAGCAUCAACAGGUAGGGCAUUUUCUCGGCCAUCAUCAAUGUGGGCUCUUCAUUAUCCAUGAACAUGAGUCAUCUCCUCUGGCACGCUCCUCCACCACGUCCCUAAUGAAUGAAUGUCGCUGAUGAUUGUCAUCAACUUCAUGGCAAAGUCGUCUGUUGACUCACCGUCCUUUAUGCGGAUAGCCUCGAACUCACUCUUCAAGGUUUGUAUCUUUACUUCCUUGACACGCUCUACACCCACAUGCAUUGUUUGCAACGUCUCCCACGCAACCUUUGUCGAGUCCUUCUCUACCAAGAUGAGAAGAACGUCCUCUAAGACUGCUUGGUAGAUGGCGGCAAGAGUCAUCCUGUCCUUACGCUCCUCAAUGUCACCGUGCUCGAUGGCGUCCCACACACCUUGUGCCUGUAAGUUAACACGCAUCUUUAUCGACUAUGUUGCGUAGUUACUCUUCGUUAGUAACAGAUACUGGAGCGUUACACUCCAGCUCCCUCCCGCUCUUUAUUGUUGUCACAUCUCCUUUGGCAACCUUGAGUGGUGUUGAUAUUUUAUUUCGGCAUCCUAGCUCUUAUACCAAAUAUUGGAUUUGACCCACGAUCCAAAUAUGUUAAACAAAUAAAAGAAUAAAAAAAGAUAAGUUGAGGGAAGAGAUCUUUUGAAACA